AGGAGAGUCAAAACGAAGGAAGAGCAAGACAGAUGUGCCGUGGCUGUCAUUAGUUAGCAGAGACUACCCACCUUGUGGUAACACAGUGAACUGUAACUGCCGGGUAAAGAGAGUGAGAGAGAAGGAAUGAGAAAGGGAGAGAGAGAGAGGAGAGAGAGAGGGAGGGAGUUUAAACUAAGAGCUAUGUUUUGGGACAAGCUAAUCUGCCAGAGAGCUGUGUAAGGAUCGGAGCACAUUGUGUGUGAGAGUGUGCGGGGGAAAGAUAAGGGAGCAGUCCUACGAGCCCGGCUGCUUGUUUUAAUGUGCUGACUCCGGGGAGAUAAAGAAAAAAUAUUGACUCUCCAGUUGUGUGCCGAGACCCCGGGCACAAGCUCCAGAACUGACAGAGGUGUGCAAAGGCGAAAGGGGGGGAAAAAAAAACAACACAAGAAAACAAUAAAGGAUCUUUCUUUUUAAUUUCAGUUUUUUGGUCCUUUUUUUUUGUUCCGUGGGACUGCCUCCCAUUUCUGCAAGAGAGACAAAGAGAGGGGGGGGGGACAGCAAAAAGAAAGGAAAACAAAAGCCUUGGCAACAAGAUGUUUGAGAUCAGCCGAACACUGAAUGCCGCCUUGUUGAGCAAUGAGCACAAAGACAGUCUGCCUGUGUGACAUCAGCAAUGCCAAUGAGUGGUGAGUAUGAUAUGAUAUUAGGCAUCAGAGAGUAAUUGUAUCUACAAGGGCUGAUACAGUGUCUUACCCAGGAUGCUUCCUCCUAUUAUUCCCACAUAAUUACUCAGACAAAUACAAUACUAUCAGACCAAUGCAAGAAAAUAUUCUUUAAUGAGUCAUCACUGCUUUGCUCAUUUGUGUCCAUUUUUUUAUUGUCCGCAUUAUACCCCAGAGGUGAUUUUAUCCAGCCUGUUGUUUCUAGUCUUCAUUGAUGAUUGACUGCACAAAGUUUGUUAACUUGUGACAAAACACUUUGGUUGUAGACAACAAACCUGAACUGCUACCCUGUUACUUAUGCUCUUGAAUGUGCUGAUUUGGAUAGAAUUGUUUCUAUCCUAAGCGACGAUUGUUUUUAGUUCUUUUGGGAUAGUUUUGAUUUUCACAAUGAAUUUGAAAUCAUGUGAAAGCUU
rnacentral:lncRNA from 1 species